UCUCUUUCCUUUUAUUUUAUGCACCAGCUUCUUCAACUCCUCUCUCGCCAUCCAUCGUCUCCCUACCUGGAUAGCCCCUCCCUUUCUUUCUCUGCAAACCAUCGAGCCUCGUUCUUUCCAUAUGUUAUGGCUGGUCUGGAUCUAGGCACCGCUUCAAGGUACGCCCACCAUCUCUCCCACCGUCCCGGCCUUCACCUUCGGCACCACCACGACCCCGAGUCCGACGACCAGAACGAUGGCGGUGACAGCAGUAACAACGGGCACAGCCAAUUCCGCAGCUCUGACCGCGAGGGCUCGGCGACGGACCAACAGGGACUCGAGCCGGUUGCGGCAGGCUCCGGGCCCGGGGACGUCGUGGCCCGGCGACCCCGGGGAAGGCCACAGGGCUCCAAGAACAAGCCCAAGCCCCCGGUGAUCAUCACCCAGGAGAGCGCCAACACCCUCCGGGCACACAUCCUUGAGGUCGGGGCUGGGUGUGAUAUCGUCGAGUGCAUCGCGACGUACGCUCGCCGCCGGCUGCGCGGGAUCUGCGUCCUCAGUGGCAGCGGCACCGUCUCCAACGUCACCGUCCGCCAGCCGUCGACGGCCGGCUCCGUCGUCACUCUCCAUGGCCACUUCGAGAUCUUGUCGCUGUCGGGGUCCUUCCUCCCGCCGCCCGCUCCCCCUGGAGCUACUAGCCUCACCAUCUUCCUCGCAGGAGGCCAGGGGCAGGUCGUCGGUGGGAACGUCGUCGGUACGCUCUUCGCAGCAGGGCCAGUGAUCGUGGUCGCUGCCUCAUUCACCAACGUCGCCUACGAGCGGCUGCCGCUCGAGGAGGAGGAACCACCGCAGAUGCAGAUGCAGCCGCCAGACCCGCAAGGGUCGGGAGGAGACGGCGGGAGCGGGACCAGCGGUGCAGGCGGCAACACGUUCUCGGACCCGUCCGGACUCCCCUUCUAUAGCUUGCCGCUUAACAUGGCCAAUAGCCAGCUUCCGGUGGACGCGCACGGGUGGCCGGCGGGCGCGCCUGGUCGGUCCCUGUUCUGAUACGAAUGCUGCAAUCGCAAAUCGAAACGACUGCCAAAAGAGAUUUAUAAUUCCACGGGGAGACGGAUGGCCGAAUCAUGGAUGACUCCAUGCUGCGGCGGGCAUGCAGCAGCAGCAGAAAAGAUGUUGUUGUUGUUGUUGUUCAUGGAAACUCUCUUUUCGUAAGCGGUAUUGGGUUUGAGACCACGGCACGGCCUUAUACAACACUUUUGUUCUUUGUUCUAUCAUCAGCAACUCCAUCGCUUCAUUUCUAAACAUAGAUAGCCCUCGAAACAUGUACUUGUUCCAUAUUUGGCUCUCCUACCUGAAGGGGAAAAAAGAGAGGAGAGAAACCGAACAACUGAUCGAGUCCUAUGACAACGAGGAGACAUGAAGAAAGUAGAACAACAAGCUCCUCCUCACCUUCUUCGAUCAGAACAUCUACGAGGUUGGUCCCGAUAAAAUCUUUGCACAUUCGGAGUCCGUCGAUCGAGUUCACGCCACGUUUGGCUUCACAUUUACGAUCGGUUCCUUUUGUCUUCCUGCACUGAAUUAAGAAAUCAGAAAGAACACUGGUAGUGCCUAAUCUCAUGGCCAAGUUUUCUUUCACCAACUUGCUGCUAAUGCCCAUGAUGUUAUAUUUACGAUCGGUUGCUAAAACUCUAUUAUAUCCGGAAAAUUCUCAGAGAGGAGAUCGUA